rnacentral:ncRNA from 1 species
UAAGGUCCAACGACAGGAUCAUGAUGAGGGAAUGUGUUACCCUCACGCUGCUGGGAUGUCGGCUUCAUGGCUUCCAGAGAGCGACCGUUGUA